GACGAACGCUGGCGGCGUGCUUAACACAUGCAAGUCGAACGGUAAGGCUCCAGCUUGCUGGGGUACACGAGUGGCGAACGGGUGAGUAACACGUGGGUGACCUGCCCUGCACUUCGGGAUAAGCCUGGGAAACUGGGUCUAAUACCGGAUAGGACCGCACCGUGAGGGUGUGGUGGAAAGUUUUUUCGGUGUGGGAUGGGCCCGCGGCCUAUCAGCUUGUUGGUGGGGUAAUGGCCUACCAAGGCGGCGACGGGUAGCCGGCCUGAGAGGGUGGACGGCCACAUUGGGACUGAGACACGGCCCAGACUCCUACGGGAGGCAGCAGUGGGGAAUAUUGCACAAUGGGCGGAAGCCUGAUGCAGCGACGCCGCGUGGGGGAUGACGGCCUUCGGGUUGUAAACUCCUUUCACCAUCGACGAAGGGUUUCUGACGGUAGAUGGAGAAGAAGCACCGGCUAACUACGUGCCAGCAGCCGCGGUAAUACGUAGGGUGCGAGCGUUGUCCGGAAUUACUGGGCGUAAAGAGCUCGUAGGUGGUUUGUCGCGUCGUCUGUGAAAUUCCGGGGCUUAACUCCGGGCGUGCAGGCGAUACGGGCAUAACUUGAGUACUGUAGGGGAGACUGGAAUUCCUGGUGUAGCGGUGAAAUGCGCAGAUAUCAGGAGGAACACCGGUGGCGAAGGCGGGUCUCUGGGCAGUAACUGACGCUGAGGAGCGAAAGCAUGGGGAGCGAACAGGAUUAGAUACCCUGGUAGUCCAUGCCGUAAACGGUGGGCGCUAGGUGUGGGUUUCCUUCCACGGGAUCCGUGCCGUAGCUAACGUAUUAAGCGCCCCGCCUGGGGAGUACGGCCGCAAGGCUAAAACUCAAAGGAAUUGACGGGGGCCCGCACAAGCGGCGGAGCAUGUGGAUUAAUUCGAUGCAACGCGAAGAACCUUACCUGGGCUUGACAUAUACAGGAUCGCGCCAGAGAUGGUGUUUCCCUUGUGGCUUGUAUACAGGUGGUGCAUGGUUGUCGUCAGCUCGUGUCGUGAGAUGUUGGGUUAAGUCCCGCAACGAGCGCAACCCUUGUCUUAUGUUGCCAGCACGUUGUGGUGGGGACUCGUAAGAAACUGCCGGGGUUAACUCGGAGGAAGGUGGGGAUGACGUCAAAUCAUCAUGCCCCUUAUGUCCAGGGCUUCACACAUGCUACAAUGGUCGGUACAGUGGGUUGCCAGUCCGUGAGGGCGAGCUAAUCCCGCAAAGCCGGUCUCAGUUCGGAUCGGGGUCUGCAACUCGACCCCGUGAAGUCGGAGUCGCUAGUAAUCGCAGAUCAGCAACGCUGCGGUGAAUACGUUCCCGGGCCU
rnacentral:rRNA from 1 species